AUGAAAAUGAUUUGUUGGAACUACCGAGGGUUGCGUCGACAUCGGACAGUCCAAGAGCUUGUGUGUCUCACGAAGACACAUUGACCCAAUGUUAUCUUUCUUUCUGAAACAAGGCAAAAAUAAAGAAUAUGUUGAGAGUUUGCAUUAUUGCUUGGUAUGAAAAAUGUUUUUUUACUGUCUAUGCCAGGCAAAGGAGGUGGACUUGUGGUAUUUCGGGAUGAUCUGUACACUCUGGAGUUGAACAAGUAUGGAGAACACUUCAUUGACAUGUACAUUUGCAAUGGUUCUAGAACUAAAUGGAGAAGUACAUUUGUAUAUGGGGAACCAAAGGCGAGCCGAAGGUAUGUAAUGUGGGAUCUGUUAAGGGGAAUUAAGCUACUUGGGUCAGGGCCAUGGUUUAUGGUUGGUGAUUUUGACGAGGCAAUGUGGUGGAAUGAGCAUUUUUCUCGGAAUAAGCGAUCUCACAAACUUAUGGCUACUUUUCGUGAGGUUCUCUCUGAUUGCAAUUUAUUUGAUUUGGGUUUUCAUGGUGUUCCUUGGACUUAUAAUAAUAAACAGGAAGGUAAUAAAAAUGUGAAAGUUCGGCUUGAUCGAGCGGUGGCGUGUCCCCAAUGGUCUGCUAUCUUUCCUAACUGUAAGGUUUCACAUAUUAUCAGUUCUAGACCUGAUCGUUGCCCUAUUCUUAUUGAGUUGAUGGGUGCCCCUCGCUCCGGUACGUAUUUUAAACAGUUGAAAUAUGAAGCAUACUGGGAGAGGGAGGAUGAGGAAUUGAAAGUAUAG
rnacentral:rRNA from 1 species